AGCGCAAGUGUUCGAAAGCACAAAGGCAGACACUGUCUACCCGCGACAGUUCGCAAGUUGCGGUGGCGGGGCGGCUGUGCGGAGCGCGCGUGCAGAGUUUUCACCCAGCAAAAGGUUGAUGAUUUAAAUGUCAAAAGAGGCAGACUCCAAAUAAAAUGCUGAACAAACAAUUUUGAGGACUUAGACCUUCGUUUCUGCCAUUACUACUUCUCAAGCUUCUUCUGAUUCCCAGAGAAUGGGAUGGAAAAAAUGAGAUGCUGCAGUUUCACUCUGGUAGGAUUCAGUCUCAAACUGCAGAGGUACUGAGGCUUCAGAAGCUGAUGGCAUAGUUAUGAGAGGGGUGAAGACCGUGACUGCAUUUCCAACAGACCCUGAGGACAAUUGGGAAGAAUGUGCUGAAUAUUUUUGAGCAAUUUCUAUAUGAUAAGCAGUUUUUAGGGCAGGUAUAAGUUGCACUGAUCCUGACCUUUUGGCCUGAGGAUGGAAGUCUUCAGUAUCUGUACAACUUUACUCCCAAGAGCUGGUG
rnacentral:antisense_RNA from 1 species